rnacentral:rRNA from 1 species
AACGAACGCUGGCGGCAUGCCUAACACAUGCAAGUCGAACGAGACCUUCGGGUCUAGUGGCGCACGGGUGCGUAACGCGUGGGAACCUGCCCUUAGGUUCGGAAUAACUCCCCGAAAGGGGUGCUAAUACCGGAUAAUGUCUUCGGACCAAAGAUUUAUCGCCUUUGGAUGGGCCCGCGUUGGAUUAGCUAGUUGGUAGGGUAAAAGCCUACCAAGGCGACGAUCCAUAGCUGGUCUGAGAGGAUGAUCAGCCACGCUGGGACUGAGACACGGCCCAGACUCCUACGGGAGGCAGCAGUGGGGAAGAUUGGACAAUGGGCGAAAGCCUGAUCCAGCAAUGCCGCGUGAGUGAUGAAGGCCGUAGGGUUGUAAAGCUCUUUUACCCGGGAUGAUAAUGACAGUACCGGGAGAAUAAGCUCCGGCUAACUCCGUG